GGAGGUGGAAGUUCGCUGGCUACUAACACACAGGGUUGGUCUCCAGCUUUCUUGAGCAAUUCCACGAUCUUCCAGAUGACAUCAUCCUCUGCAAGAGAGCAUGGGUACCACCACUCCUAGGGAGAAGAGAAACACAUGUGGCGAUCAGAGGACAUCUCGCAGAAGCCAGUUCUCUCCGUUUAAUAUACGGGUCCCAGGAAUCAAACUCACAUCAUCAGGGCUUGCUAUAACAUGCCUUUACCCUCUGAGCCAUCUCACAGCCCAAAGCAUGAUGUUUUAUGCAGGGAUUUAAGACCCGAUGUCCACUUGCCCUGUCAACUGAGCUUUCUAGAUCUGGGAACUUUGAAUUGGUGGUGGCCAAAUCACGUCCCCCUCUGGAUCUUUACAGCUUUCCCUGUGAAAUAUGGGUCACAAUCUCUCAUGGGCUGUCAGGACAUCAAACAAAGGAGCAGGGAUUAGAAACAUUUCCCAAGGCUGAUUCCAAGUCUUCCAGCCCCACAUAAUAACGGGUCCCUAUCCUAAGGCACAGAGAGGACAUCAGGUGGCGCUCCACAGGUCACACUGGACCUGCCCCAGAGCUGCUUCCACUACUCCUCACACCAGAACAUUUCCUUGGGUGGCUUGUUCUGCCUUACACAGGGGUGACGUGCCCACUCCACUAGCUGCACCCCAAAGGUCUGUUUGCAUGAAAUGUCAAACAAACAAGCAUCUCUGCCCCUGGCUUCCUGUUUCCUGACAGUCUACAGUUCAUUUUCCUCUCAGGCAAGACAAUGGUAAAGUAAAUACCUUACAAACUGGCCACAGAAAUGCUUUUCCAUCCCUUGCAAUCCCUGCCUUUAAAAAUUCGGCCCUCGUUUUUAGACAGUUAAAUGAAGAGGGUAUGUGUGG
rnacentral:lncRNA from 1 species